GACGAACGCUGGCGGCGUGCCUAAUACAUGCAAGUUGAGCGCUUAAGGGUGGUACUUGUACCAACUGGAUGAGCAGCGAACGGGUGAGUAACGCGUGGGGAAUCUGCCUUUGAGCGGGGGACAACAUUUGGAAACGAAUGCUAAUACCGCAUAAAAACUUUAAACACAAGUUUUAAGUUUGAAAGAUGCAAUUGCAUCACUCAAAGAUGAUCCCGCGUUGGAUUAGCUAGUUGGUGAGGAAAGGGCCCACCAAUGGGAUGAUACAUAGCCUACCUUGGAGGGUGAUCGGCCACAAUUGGACUGGGACACGGCCCAAACUCCUACGGGAGGCAGCAGGAGGGAAACUUCGGCAAUUGACGAAAGUCUGACCGAGCAACGGCGGGUGAGUGAAGAAGGGUCUCGGAUCGGAAAACUCUGUUGGUAGGGAAGAACGUUGGGGAGGGUGGAAAGCUCAUCAAGUGACGGUAACUACACAGAAAGGGACGGCUAACUACGUG
rnacentral:rRNA from 1 species